CAUCUCCAGAUUGGACAAUCUGUUGCCCGUCCCUGAUAUAAAACAGACGGCAGCGUGGCUCAGCAGCGCCCCCUCUGUCAUGGAGGAGUGCGGGCAGCUGGUUUUGGAACGAGAAGAGCUGAAAGCGCUGCUGUACUUCCACGAGCAACAAACAGGAAAUACCAACAAAAGCCUCUCUCCAGCUCAGAAUAUGUUUUUGCCCGUGCUGUCUCUUCAUGCCAAAACAAACUCAAGGCAACAAGAUGAUGUUGAAAAUAAAGGAGAGUUUAAUUGUGGCAUCGGUAAAGAACCAUUGAAGAAAAGCAUCAGCGCGGAGGACUCGGGGAAUGGACACGACCUGAACGA